rnacentral:rRNA from 1 species
AGGUGAACCUGCGGAAGCAUCAUUAUUGAAUUAUAAGGCUCUGAUUGUGCUGGCCUCUCGGGGCAUGUGCACGUCUCUGCCCAUUAAUCCCAACCCACCCCUGUGAACCGACCGUGUGGGGCGCU